rnacentral:misc_RNA from 1 species
AAGAAACCCAAUUCUCUCCCAGCCUCUGAGAUUUCUGCACUAUCUCAUCCUAAACCCCUCAAUUUUCUCAUAAAACAAACAGAAUACCUUUUUUUUUUUAAUUUUCUUUUGAAUCGGCAUCACUUUUGGCGAUCCACCACCAUUGCUCCAUCAAUGACCACCAUGAGCUCACACCGUUCAUGGCAUCCUAAUGACAUUCUCCACCUUCACACUUAUUAGUACUACAUUUUGACGCUUCUUCUUCGGUUCUUUAGAUAUCUAGGUACUUUUAGUUUUCCAUCUGUCCUUUUGUGAAAUUGGAGUUGAACUUGUGUUUAGGUGUUGUGUUGAUGUUAAGAUUACCUUUAGAAAUUGUUUUCAUGGAGACUACAUCUAACUCACUUGCAUCUAUCUCGUAAGUACUGUUUAGUACCAAAACUCCCUUGGUGGUGCCUCUACUGCAGGUUCCUCCAUUAAGCACCAGCACCUCUGGUGUAGGUACCUUUGCUAUUGGUACCUCAAUAACUCUUUUAGGUACCAGCUCCCCUAUUGUAGGUAUCUCAACAGCUGGUUCCUUUGGUACUUAGUUGUUUACUUCACUUGCCUUUCCUAUUUUAGGAAUUAAACCAUUUGCCCGAGUUGCAGAAAAUGGCUAAUUUUGAAAUUUUUGCUCAUUCCUCUAUUCUUUUGUUAUUUGGUUACUUUGUUGGACAAUCUUCUUUAGUGUUCUACUAAAAAUAUUAGGGGAUAUUUGAUGAUCAAAUUCACAAAUU